rnacentral:rRNA from 1 species
AUUGAACGCUGGCGGCAGGCCUAACACAUGCAAGUCGAGCGAGCGGCGGACGGGGGAGUAAAGUAUGGGAAACUGCGCGAUGGAGGGGGGUAAAGACAGGAAAAGGUAGCUAAAACAGCAUACAAUCGGAGGUGACCAGAUGGGAUUAGCUAGUAGGGGGGGUAAAGGCUCACCCAGGGGACGAUCCCUAGCUGGUCUGAGAGGAGGACCAGCCACACUGGGACUGAGACACGGUCCAGACUCCUACGGUAGGCAGCAGUGGGGAAUAUUGCGCAAUGGGCGCAAGCCUGAUGCAGCCAUGCCGCGUGUAUGAAGAAGGCCUUCGGGUUGUAAAGUACUUUUAGCGGGGAGGCGGUACCCGCAGAAGAAGCACCGGCUAACUCCGUGCCAGCCGCCGCGGUAAUUC